GCUUCUUUUUCCCCGGAGCUUGCUCCACCGGAAAAAGAAGAGUGGCGAACGGGUGAGUAACACGUGGGUAACCUGCCCAUCAGAAGGGGAUAACACUUGGAAACAGGUGCUAAUACCGUAUAACAAUCGAAACCGCAUGGUUUUGAUUUGAAAGGCGCUUUCGGGUGUCGCUGAUGGAUGGACCCGCGGUGCAUUAGCUAGUUGGUGAGGUAACGGCUCACCAAGGCCACGAUGCAUAGCCGACCUGAGAGGGUGAUCGGCCACAUUGGGACUGAGACACGGCCCAAACUCCUACGGGAGGCAGCAGUAGGGAAUCUUCGGCAAUGGACGAAAGUCUGACCGAGCAACGCCGCGUGAGUGAAGAAGGUUUUCGGAUCGUAAAACUCUGUUGUUAGAGAAGAACAAGGAUGAGAGUAACUGUUCAUCCCUUGACGGUAUCUAACCAGAAAGCCACGGCUAACUACGUGCCAGCAGCCGCGGUAAUACGUAGGUGGCAAGCGUUGUCCGGAUUUAUUGGGCGUAAAGCGAGCGCAGGCGGUUUCUUAAGUCUGAUGUGAAAGCCCCCGGCUCAACCGGGGAGGGUCAUUGGAAACUGGGAGACUUGAGUGCAGAAGAGGAGAGUGGAAUUCCAUGUGUAGCGGUGAAAUGCGUAGAUAUAUGGAGGAACACCAGUGGCGAAGGCGGCUCUCUGGUCUGUAACUGACGCUGAGGCUCGAAAGCGUGGGGAGCAAACAGGAUUAGAUACCCUGGUAGUCCACGCCGUAAACGAUGAGUGCUAAGUGUUGGAGGGUUUCCGCCCUUCAGUGCUGCAGCUAACGCAUUAAGCACUCCGCCUGGGGAGUACGACCGCAAGGUUGAAACUCAAAGGAAUUGACGGGGGCCCGCACAAGCGGUGGAGCAUGUGGUUUAAUUCGAAGCAACGCGAAGAACCUUACCAGGUCUUGACAUCCUUUGACCACUCUAGAGAUAGAGCUUCCCCUUCGGGGGCAAAGUGACAGGUGGUGCAUGGUUGUCGUCAGCUCGUGUCGUGAGAUGUUGGGUUAAGUCCCGCAACGAGCGCAACCCUUAUUGUUAGUUGCCAUCAUUUAGUUGGGCACUCUAGCAAGACUGCCGGUGACAAACCGGAGGAAGGUGGGGAUGACGUCAAAUCAUCAUGCCCCUUAUGACCUGGGCUACACACGUGCUACAAUGGGAAGUACAACGAGUCGCGAAGUCGCGAGGCUAAGCUAAUCUCUUAAAGCUUCUCUCAGUUCGGAUUGUAGGCUGCAACUCGCCUACAUGAAGCCGGAAUCGCUAGUAAUCGCGGAUCAGCACGCCGCGGUGAAUACGUUCCCGGGCCUUGUACACACCGCCCGUCACACCACGAGAGUUUGUAACACCCGAAGUCGGUGAGGUAACCUUUGGAGCCAGCCGC
rnacentral:rRNA from 1 species